GUUCCAGUAGCGCAAUGGAUUGCGCGUUGGACUGCUAAUCUAAAUAUCGUGGUUUCUAAUUCCCCCUGGGAUG
rnacentral:tRNA from 1 species